rfam:Bombyx mori DNA, contig: Bm_scaf136_contig39413, strain: p50T/Dazao, build 2, whole genome shotgun sequence.
UUAAGUCAAAUUUGUAUAGAGCUGGAACGUUUGCCUACGUUUGUCGCUAGGGGCGCUGUUCCAACUGCAUACAAAUAUGAGUUA